rnacentral:tRNA from 1 species
GCCUGGGUGGCUCAGUCGGUUGAGCGUCCGGCUUUGGCUCAGACCGUGAUCUCACGGUUCGUGGGUUCGAGCCCCGCGUCAGGCU